rnacentral:rRNA from 1 species
CCUACGGGUGGCUGCAGUAGGGAAUAUUGGGCAAUGGAUGCAAGUCUGACCCAGCCAUGCCGCGUGCCGGAUGAAGGCCCUCAGGGUUGUAAACGGCUUUUAUUCGGGAAGAAGAGCAGGGAUGCGUCCUUGUGUGACGGUACCGAAUGAAUAAGCACCGGCUAACUCCGUGCCAGCAGCCGCGGUAAUACGGAGGGUGCGAGCGUUGUCCGGAUUUAUUGGGUUUAAAGGGUGCGUAGGUGGCUGUUUAAGUCAGUGGUGAAAUACGGUUGCUC